rnacentral:rRNA from 1 species
AAGACGGUGGCGGCAGGGGGGAAUAUUGGACAAUGGGCGAAAGCCUGAUCCAGCCAUGCCGCGUGUGUGAAGAAGGCCUUCGGGUUGUAAAGCACUUUCAGUGGGGAAGAAAGCCUUGGGGCUAAUACCCUCGAGGAAGGACAUCACCCACAGAAGAAGCACCGGCUAACUCCGUGCCAGCAGCCGCGGUAAUACGGAGGGUGCGAGCGUUAAUCGGAAUUACUGGGCGUAAAGCGCGCGUAGGCGGUCUGAUAAGCCGGUUGUGAAAGCCCCGGGCUCACCUGGGAACGGCAUCCGGAACUGUCAGGCUAGAGUGCAGGAGAGGAAGGUAGAAUUCCCGGUGUAGCGGUGAAAUGCGUAGAGAUCGGGAGGAAUACCAGUGGCGAAGGCGGCCUUCUGGACUGACACUGACGCUGAGGUGCGAAAGCGUGGGUAGCAAACAGGAUUAGAUACCCUUGUAGUC